GACGAACGCUGGCGGCGUGCCUAAUACAUGCAAGUAGAACGCUGAAGGAGGAGCUUGCUUCUCCGGAUGAGUUGCGAACGGGUGAGUAACGCGUAGGUAACCUGCCUGGUAGCGGGGGAUAACUAUUGGAAACGAUAGCCAAUACCGCAUAACAGUAGAUAUUGCAUGAUAUCUGCUUGAAAGGUGCAAUUGCAUCACUACCAGAUGGACCUGCGUUGUAUUAGCUAGUUGGUGAGGUAACGGCUCACCAAGGCGACGAUACAUAGCCGACCUGAGAGGGUGAUCGGCCACACUGGGACUGAGACACGGCCCAGACUUCUACGGGAGGCAGCAGUAGGGAAUCUUCGGCAAUGGACGGAAGUCUGACCGAGCAACGCCGCGUGAGUGAAGAAGGUUUUCGGAUCGUAAAGCUCUGUUGUAAGAGAAGAACGAGUGUGAGAGUGGAAAGUUCACACUGUGACGGUAUCUUACCAGAAAGGGACGGCUAACUACGUGCCAGCAGCCGCGGUAAUACGUAGGUCCCGAGCGUUGUCCGGAUUUAUUGGGCGUAAAGCGAGCGCAGGCGGUUAGAUAAGUCUGAAGUUAAAGGCUGUGGCUUAACCAUAGUACGCUUUGGAAACUGUUUAACUUGAGUGCAAGAGGGGAGAGUGGAAUUCCAUGUGUAGCGGUGAAAUGCGUAGAUAUAUGGAGGAACACCGGUGGCGAAAGCGGCUCUCUGGCUUGUAACUGACGCUGAGGCUCGAAAGCGUGGGGAGCAAA
rnacentral:rRNA from 1 species